UACGGGGGGGGCAAGCGUUGUUCGGAAUUACUGGGCGUAAAGGGCGCGUAGGCGGCCUUCUAAGUCGGACGUGAAAUCCCUCGGCUUAACCGAGGAACUGCGUCCGAUACUGAAAGGCUUGAAUCCGGGAGAGGGAUGUGGAAUUCCAGGUGUAGCGGUGAAAUGCGUAGAUAUCUGGAGGAACACCGGUGGCGAAGGCGGCAUCCUGGACCGGUAUUGACGCUGAGGCGCGAAAGCGUGGGGAGCAAACGGG
rnacentral:rRNA from 1 species